CCAGAGAAUUUAGCAGAGAUGCUUAGUGCCUUCGGGAACUCUGAGACAGGUGCUGCAUGGCUGUCGUCAGCUCGUGUUGUGAAAUGUUGGGUUAAGUCUCGCAACGAGCGCAACCCUUUAUCCUUUGUUGCCAGCACGUAAUGGUGGGAACUCAAAGGAGACUGCCGGUGAUAAACCGGAGGAAGGUGGGGAUGACGUCAAGUCAUCAUGGCCCUUACGAGUAGGGCUACACACGUGCUACAAUGGCGCAUACAAAGAGAAGCGACCUCGCGAGAGCAAGCGGACCUCAUAAAGUGCGUCGUAGUCCGGAUUGGAGUCUGCAACUCGACUCCAUGAAGUCGGAAUCGCUAGUAAUCGUAAAUCAGAAUGUUACGGUGAAUACGUUCCCGGGCCUUGUACACACCGCCCGUCACACCAUGGGAGUGGGUUGCAAAAGAAGUAGAUAGCUUAACCUUCGGGAGGGCGUUUACCACUUUGUGAUUCAUGACUGGGGUGAAGUCGUAACAAGGUAAGCGUAGUGCU
rnacentral:rRNA from 1 species